rnacentral:rRNA from 1 species
UACGGAGGGUGCAAGCGUUGUUCGGAUUUACUGGGCGUAAAGGGCGCGUAGGCGGUCGUGACAAGUCACUUGUGAAAUCUCCGGGCUUAACUCGGAACGGUCAAGUGAUACUGUCGGACUAGAGUACAGAAGGGGCAACUGGAAUUCUCGGUGUAGCGGUGAAAUGCGUAGAUAUCAGGAGGAAUACCGGUGGCGAAAGCGACUCUCUGGACGGCAACUGACGCUGAGGCACGAAAGCGUGGGGAGCAAACAGG